rnacentral:tRNA from 1 species
GAGGCCUUAGCUUAAUGAAAGUGUCUGAGUUGCAUUCAGGAGAUGUGGGUUAAAGGCCCAUAGGCUUUA